AACGCUGGCGGCAGGCUUAACACAUGCAAGUCGAGCGCCUCGCAAGAGGAGCGGCAGACGGGUGAGUAACGCGUGGGAAUCUACCCAUCUCUACGGAACAACUCCGGGAAACUGGAGCUAAUACCGUAUACGUCCUUCGGGAGAAAGAUUUAUCGGAGAUGGAUGAGCCCGCGUUGGAUUAGCUAGUUGGUGGGGUAAUGGCCUGCCAAGGCGACGAUCCAUAGCUGGUCUGAGAGGAUGAUCAGCCACACUGGGACUGAGACACGGCCCAGACUCCUACGGGAGGCAGCAGUGGGGAAUAUUGGACAAUGGGCGAAAGCCUGAUCCAGCCAUGCCGCGUGAGUGAUGAAGGCCCUAGGGUUGUAAAGCUCUUUCAACGGUGAAGAUAAUGACGGUAACCGUAGAAGAAGCCCCGGCUAACUUCGUG
rnacentral:rRNA from 1 species